ensembl:snoRNA
AUCCUUUGUGGCUCAUAAGCGUGCAGGCUAGGCGGUCACACAAUCCUGGGACGCGAGCCUCCCUCAAGACUUGUUAUCGGAUCAACACACUAUUCAUCUGAUA